rnacentral:rRNA from 1 species
GCAAGUCGAACGGAGUUUUAAACAGAAGUUUCGGAGUGGAAGUUAAAAACGUAGUGGCGGACGGGUGAGUAACGCGUGGGUAACCUGCCACAUACAGGGGGAUAACAGUUAGAAAUGACUGCUAAGACCGCAUAAUAUAGCGAAACCGCAUGAUUUUGCUAUCAAAUAUUUAUAGGUAUGAGAUGGGCCCCGCGUCUGAUUAGCUAGUUGGUGGGGUAAAAGCCUACCAAGGCGACGAUCAGUAGCCGGCUUGAGAGAGUGACCGGCCACAUUGGGACUGAGACACGGCCCAAACUCCUACGGGAGGCAGCAGUGGGGAAUAUUGGACAAUGGGGGAAACCCUGAUCCAGCGACGCCCGCGUGAGUGAAGAAGUAUUUCGGUAUGUAAAGCUCUAUCAGCAGGGAAGAUAAUGACAGUACCUGACUAAGAAGCCCCGGCUAACUACGUGCCAGCAGCUGC